rnacentral:sRNA from 11 species
AAAGCAGGGGGCGAAAGAGAACCAACGAACACAAUUAAAAAGAGAAGGGCUCUCUCUCGACAAAUCCCCACCAUCAACCG